CCUACGGGAGGCAGCAGUGAGGAAUAUUGGUCAAUGGGCGAGAGCCUGAACCAGCCAAGUCGCGUGAAGGAUGAAGGAUCUAUGGUUUGUAAACUUCUUUUAUAUGGGAAUAAAGUGAGGAACGUGUUCCUUUUUGUAUGUACCUUAUGAAUAAGGAUCGGCUAACUCCGUGCCAGCAGCCGCGGUAAUACGGAGGAUCCGAGCGUUAUCCGGAUUUAUUGGGUUUAAAGGGUGCGUAGGCGGCCUUUUAAGUCAGCGGUGAAAGUCUGUGGCUCAACCAUAGAAUGGCCGUUGAAACUGGGGGGCUUGAGUAUGUGUGAGGCAGGCGGAAUGCGUGGUGUAGCGGUGAAAUGCUUAGAUAUCACGCAGAACCCCGAUUGCGAAGGCAGCCUGCCAGGCCAUGACUGACGCUGAUGCACGAAAGCGUGGGGAUCAAACAGGAUUAGAUACCCGAGUAGUC
rnacentral:rRNA from 1 species